rnacentral:rRNA from 1 species
GGGGGGGGACGGGCGAUGACAGCACAUGCAGUCGAACGGUGAAGCAGAGCUUGCUCUGUGGAUCAGUGGCGAACGGGUGAGUAACACGUGAGCAAUCUGCCCCUGACUCUGGGAUAAGCGCUGGAAACGGCGUCUAAUACCGGAUACGAGCUGCGAAGGCAUCUUCAGCAGCUGGAAAGAAUUUCGGUCAGGGAUGAGCUCGCGGCCUAUCAGCUUGUUGGUGAGGUAACGGCUCACCAAGGCGUCGACGGGUAGCCGGCCUGAGAGGGUGACCGGCCACACUGGGACUGAGACACGGCCCAGACUCCUACGGGAGGCAGCAGUGGGGAAUAUUGCACAAUGGGCGAAAGCCUGAUGCAGCAACGCCGCGUGAGGGACGACGGCCUUCGGGUUGUAAACCUCUUUUAGCAGGAAAGAAGCGAAAGUGACGGUACCUGCAGAAAAAGCGCCGGCUAACUACGUGCCAGCAGCCGCGGUAAUACGUAGGGCGCAAGCGUUAUCCGGAAUUAUUGGGCGUAAAGAGCUCGUAGGCGGUCUGUCGCGUCUGCUGUGAAAACCCGAGGCUCAACCUCGGGCCUGCAGUGGGUACGGGCAGACUAGAGUGCGGUAGGGGAGAUUGGAAUUCCUGGUGUAGCGGUGGAAUGCGCAGAUAUCAGGAGGAACACCGAUGGCGAAGGCAGAUCUCUGGGCCGUAACUGACGCUGAGGAGCGAAAGGGUGGGGAGCAAACAGGCUUAGAUACCCUGGUAGUCCACCCCGUAAACGUUGGGAACUAGGUGUGGGGUCCAUUCCACGGAUUCCGUGACGCAGCUAACGCAUUAAGUUCCCCGCCUGGGGGAGUACGGCCGCAAGGCUAAAACUCAAAGGAAUUGACGGGGACC